rnacentral:lncRNA from 1 species
CAAGACAAGAGGCGAGCCCUCACUAGAAACCAACCCUGCAGGCACCUCCAUGUUGGACUUCUAGUUUCCAAAGCUGUGAGAAAGUGCAUAUCUGUUGUUUAAAUCAUCCAGCCUAAGUCCAGAGAGCCAAAUGAGUGUGGUGACGUUAUUUCCGGCCUCGUCAGCAUGUGUGUGAUCAACACGAUCACACAGAAGACCGCCGCAUCCAAGAAAGGAGCAAGGAACACAAAGACAUACUUCAGACUGAUUGAACAGAAGGCAAAAUUUUCAACGGACAUGAUAAUGCAACACUUCCAACAUGGAUACAUUUGUUAUAGGCCGAAAAGCUGCAUCAUAUAAUGAGUGCUAUUGAUUUAGAAAGAAGAUUUACUCAAGAAUCAGGAGAAAUGAUGUACUGGACUUUGGAACUAAUUAUUUUUGAAUAAUGAAAGAGAAACAUCAAUAUGAAUUUAAAUUUCUAUCUUGGACAACUAAGCAGAUAGUAGUAAAAUAAAUAGAAUUAUGGAAGAGCUGCAAAUCUGAGAGAUGUGUGGAGCUUGAGCUAUUCAAGAAAAUAACAGAAGGAACAGAAGGCACUUUCCUUCGGAAUGAUCCAAGUUGCUGGUUACGCAUCGUCCUUCUUCCUGCACUUGAAUGUUCUCUAAAAGAACUUUUAAACUCCACGAAAGAUCAAUAUUUGACAAUCUUAGUGAUAUUUUACUGAUACCAAAAAGGAAAACAAAAGCAUUGAGGGGUUACAUAAAAGAGUAACUUCUGUCUUUCCGGCAAGCUCUCCUUUGGUGGCUUUGAUAAAGCUAUAUGGAGAAGUCCGUGCAGGAAGAACUGAGAGCAGCUCUGGCCGAUGUCCAAAAAGCCACUGAGACCCUCAGUCCAACAGUCCACAAGAACUAAAUCCUGCCAACACUCAGAGCUGGUGAGUGGAUCCUUCCCCAACUGAGCCUUUGGAUGAGACCCUGGCUGACACCUUGACUGCAGCCUCGUGAGAUCUUACAGCAAAGAACUCAGCUAAGUCAUGACCAGAUUCUUGAAAACUGAGACAAUAAAUAAAAAAAUAAACUAUGUUGACCUAAGC